GAUCCUGCCUGUUGGCUAAUGCUUACUGACGCUGCAUUUAAAGCACGGGAGAAUAAGCGUCCCCUCCGCGUUUAGAUUCUGUUGUCUUCUGUUCUUUUUUACUCCAUUCCUCAUCUCUAUUUUGUGAGCUUUAGCUCUUUUUCUUUUCAGCUCUCCAUCUGGGCCUGAUUAAGUGAGUGAGUGAAUCAUAUCAAUCAGAAUUCAUUUCUGCAUGAGCCAUAUGUAUUGAUCUGCUGUUGUUAAAUCAACAUUCCUGACUGCCAUUUCUGUCUCCACCUUUUGUAUUCCUGACAGCAACUGUACAGUCGAAGGAAAAGAUCUUCCAAGAUGUCUGAAGAGCCACUUACCAAGAACGAACAUCGAGAAACUGGUAUUUCUUUUGGCCUUUAAUCAAACUGUAGUAGCAGUACUAUAAAAGGCUGUACAAUACUACACAGUAAAUACAUACCUAUAUGCAAAUGUGCAUUUAAAACUGCAAAAAGAAAUAAUAUGGCAAUUAAAUAAAUAAUAUUAA